UGGUCUUAUAGGAUGGGUCAGAUAAUAGAAAAGAAAACGUGGAACUGUGACUGGUGUGUGCUGGACCUGGCUUGACCCUCUGUAGCCUAAACUCCAACUAUCUCCAGAAAAGGUCUUACAGAAACGGUAUUUUUUGCCGUGCUGCUGUGUGAGAAGGCUGGCCCUGAGCGCCAGGUGCGUGAGCAGCGAGUAGCUCCUUUGUCUCGGAUAAAAGAAACUAUCCUGAUUUACACCACUGCAGCAUCCGAGGCUUUGUUCAAAAGGGCCUCACAUAGAUUUCUGUCAGUGAUUAACCGUGUUAAGUUUCAGUGCCUCCAGAGGAAGAUCACAGCUGUCACCUCUGAAAUAAGACUUAGAAAAGCCGGCAUCUGAAUCCCGUCCUCAGAUCUAGACCUUAACCUUCAGUGGAGCCACUGAAAACACCGAUUCUACAUGCAAAAAUAGUACAGAAAUGUAUACACUUUAAAUACAUGUGGAGCAAGGAGACAAAUAGCAUGGGCUCUAGCUGUUCCACAACUGCAUCUCGCUUUCAGAAAAGCAUCGGUCACUGCAAGGAAAGAUUUGUAGCACAGGAUAUAACUCAUCAUGAGCAAAAGUGGGAAUCCGAGCCAUGACAUUUUAAUUUCAGACAUAUUCAAAGGUAGGAGAGUCACUCUGUUCUGACUGAACUUUAGAUAAGCACGCACUGUGCCAUGGUUUUGGUCUACUCACAACAUUCCUCAAAUUUUCACUGCAGUAGGAGGAAAAAGAGAAAGGGAGGAAAAAGAGAAAGAGAGAGCAAAAAAGAAAGAAAGAAAGGGGAAGAGAGAGAGAAAGAGUUUGGUUUACAGGAGGUGUUUUAUUGUGCCGAUACCCAAAGGCUGGAUUCAAUAAAACCUCCAUCUGGCUCUCACACAGAGCAACCUCCUCUAAGACCUCGCAGCAGCCCUCCUCACCUCCAGAGUCAAUUUUGGGAGGCUUGCGAGCGUUUGCAUGGGCUUCCCUCCUGCCACAGCAGGACAGGGCUUUUUACUGAGUCAGACCCAUAGAAAGCAUCUCUCUGUCUUACUUCUUACACUUAUUUUGGAGAUUGAGGGUGACUUCAAACCCAGAGGAUGUGCCAAGUGUGCUUUAAAAACUUGGCUUCAGAGAAUCAACCGUUCCCCACGUGCCAGAGUACAAAUAAAGCUAAAGUAGUUGCCGAAACACUGCGUGUAGAGUUUGCUGAGCGAGGUUCCCCGGCUUCGCUUAUAGAGGGGGCCAGACAAGCUGUUUAUGAGGGUCUCUUAUGGCCUUACUGUCUACAGAUACAUUUCCAUCCACCCAACCGAAACUUCAGUCAACAACUUUUUUUGUGGCUGAAUCAGAACAUAGAGUUAAAAAUGCUCAGAAAUACAUAAAGCUCUGUCCCACUGCCCUUAUUUUCUGAUCUAUCACAUACUCGGGUACCGGGACUAUAAGCACAAAAUAAGAGCCUGGAAAGACAGUGAGAUAAAUGAUACACACA